GAUGAACGCUGGCGGCGUGCCUAAUACAUGCAAGUCGAGCGAACAGACGAGGAGCUUGCUCCUCUGACGUUAGCGGCGGACGGGUGAGUAACACGUGGAUAACCUACCUAUAAGACUGGGAUAACUUCGGGAAACCGGAGCUAAUACCGUAUAAUAUAUUGAACCGCAUGGUUCAAUAGUGAAAGACGGUUUUGCUGUCACUUAUAGAUGGAUCCGCGCCGCAUUAGCUAGUUGGUAAGGUAACGGCUUACCAAGGCAACGAUGCGUAGCCGACCGGAGAGAGUGGUAGGCCACACUAGAACUCAGACACGGACAAGACUACUAAGGGACGGAGCAGUCGGGAAUGGUACGCAGUGGGCGAAAGCAUGACGGAGCAAGGGCGCGUGAGUGAUGAAGGUCUUCGGAUCGUAAAACUCUGUUAUUAGGGAAGAACAACUGUGUACGUAACUAUGCACGUCUUGACGGUACCUAAUCAGAAAGCCACGGCUAACUACGUG
rnacentral:rRNA from 1 species